rnacentral:sRNA from 1 species
UGACCGCUUCGUAAUUUUAUGCGAAGCCGAGGCCAUACGGACAGCCGGGUCAACUGCCGA